ensembl:lncRNA
CGUUGAUUGCCGUUGUAACUGCGACGUCUGCGGUUUUCUGUUAUGGACACAUGACUGGAAACUGCUGUAGGCCAGGAAUGUGAAGUCCAGAUGGCAGCAUUUCGGUUGCACGAGACGUGACAUUUAAUGCCUUUAUUGGAUCGCACCAGUUGAGCGAUGACAGGAAACGAGUGGGAGAGAGAGCUGCACCAAUGGCUCCUUGUCGGCAUCUUGAUCCCUCAGCCGCCGAGGGGAGGGGACUUCCUGUUUAUAGCACGAGCGGUGCUGCAAACCCCACUGGCAAUCCCAAAGGUGUUCAUCGUCUCUGGUUCACCAGCCCUCCAGAGUCUCUCCAUUUCUUCACGCCUGGCUUUCUCCAUCUCCUUCAGGCUCUUCUCAAGGGCCAGCUCCUCUGUCACCUCAUGCAGUUGUUGAAUAAGCUCACUUUUUGUGUUGGUCUCUGAGUAGUUUUGGACACCCUCACGUGGAAUACCUGGGAAAGCUUUGACAGUAAAAUUCUGCCGCCUGGCUUGGUCCUGGUUGUACCGGGGGGCCCGGGGCCUCCUGUUGUUUCCACCACGCUGCAUCGAUUAGCUGGGAGACACGUAUACAAUGAUCUUGUACAAAUGCAGUUAGUAACUGAUGAACUUGUAAUGAUACGGUCUGUCAGGGAUAAACGGUUGUGACAACUUGUUUUUAUUUAAAUUGGUGUUUCCGUGGAAGGUUCUCUCUCUGUGACAAUGGUGUCCUGGUGCUAUGGCAACCACUGUUAUUAUUAUUUUUUAAUGGAUUCACCAUUUUAUUUAGGUUUUACUGAAUGUUUGUGUUUGAAUGUUUUUGAGGCAAUCUCCACACAAUACAUGACACGAGUAUGUUGUCAAUUCAGUCUCCACGCUAGCAUGUGAUGUCCUGUUUAAUGAUUUUAUAGCACUGUCAAGUACACAUUUUUCUCACACACAUAUUGCUUCACUAACUAUGACUAUUUCUUUGACUAUAAUGACUCCCACUGAAGGUUUUAUAAUAAAUAAGCGAUACCAAA